UUAUAAAGAUUACUUGUUUCCGUGUAAAACCCCAUAUCUGUUGAUUUAACUAUCUGCCAUUCUUCCCAGCUUUGUUCACGAUGAUGUAUUUCACCGAGUGUGCCUUCCCGGCUGUGUGUUUUUGUAAGCCCCGUCUGCUAAGGAAGGCAGAGAACUACUCAGCAGCAGUAAUAGCUCUUGAAAGGCAGCAAGAGGAACUCGCUAAUUGGCUGCUUUAUCAUUUUCAUCUCCAAGUCUGGACUCCAAUUGAAAGGGGAGGGAACUGGUACUGAGUGAUAUAAAAAAAAACUUUGAGAAAGUUUUAAAGCUGAGAAAAUGCAGAAGACAUUGCAGAUUAAUCUUGAAGCGAGAGAAAGGCAACUGUGGACAUAAAAAGACAGAUUAACAAGGCAUUACUGGAAUAAGAAGGGAAAAAAAUAGAGAUUUGUAGCACAUAUUCUGCAGAACGCCAGUCAGCUGUUAGGAGGAAGGUGGCACAGCCAGAAAUAUAAUUACCAAAGGGUAAUAGAGUAAAGGAAUCUGGAAGCACAUUCAUGUCAUAUAGAGAGGAAAAAAAAAUCCUCAGUCAAGCGGAAAUCCAAUCACAAGAGACCGUGGCAAGUAAAGUGCGGGGCCGCUUUCUGCAUCCAGAAAAGUCAUUAAAAGUUUCAGGAGGAAAGCAGGUAAUUCUGUACAAUCUUCCUCAAUGGCCACUGCCUGUAUUUCACCGGACAUUUCAGUUGAGAUGAAUGAAGACAGUCCAGGGAAUGAGGAUUCUGGGGCUGAACCCAAGCAGAAGAGCAGUGAAAGCCCAUACCUUGUGAGCACAACUACCGGCGGUGUGGAGAAUUCUUGCCACAGCUGCAUGCUGGCCUUUGGAAUGGUGACUUUUAUCAUUGGCAUAUCAACCUCAAGCCUGGCCUAUGCUACUAACUCUGUUGGCUCUGUCCUCUUCUCACUGGGCAUAACAGUGUUGUUCAUGGGCAUUGCAUCAGUCACAUUCAGCUGUGUAUGGAGAUACUAUAGGAAGAAGAGGAAAGAGCGGAUGAAAGAGGACCUAGCAGAACUGUUUUAUGAGUACCAGCAAAAAAAGAUCAGGGUGUAGCAUCUAUAAAAUGUUCCUCAUAUCUCAUUAUGCUUUGCCUUCAACUGAUUAUGCGACGCAUUUGACCAACAAAGAAUCAGUGAUGGGAAGCUCAUGAAAAAUGUUUUUACUGGAAUAUAAGUACUAGGGCAGAAAGACCUGCAGAUAAAUGCACUCACAGUGUAAACUAAACAAUGUAAGACACAGGCAUAACUACUAGACUUCAUAUCAAAAUCCAAUCUCCGUCCCUUUGAGGAAGAUCAUGUGUUUCACACAUAUACAGGGCUCGUUUACAAAAGCAGUCCUACUGUAUGUGUUUUACACGCAAUACAUUGCUUGGCCUCAGAAUUUUAGUGUAAUAGUUCGCCCCUUUGAAUGUGCAGGUGCCACAACUUGCACUCAAUUAACCAUUGCAGGUGCACGUUCAUUUCUAUGUUGGUAAAUGACAUGCAAGGAUAAAUAUAAUAUAAGUAAGCAUAAGAGUUUUUCAGUCUUAGCCAGUUGCAUGUGCAGGGGCAGCAUAAUGGCUCCUGUGAGUUCUGUGCUUUGCACCUUGUGCGCAAUUCAUCACAGUUGCAAGGGUUGUGUAUGCAAGUGAACAGUGUGUUUGCCCUCCUAAAUAAGUCCUAGAGAUGAAAAGUAUCAUUUAUGAUAAGUGCAAGUGUGGUCAGCCUUAAAUUGCCCACAAAUGUUGCAUGCCAUUCAUUAUGGUCAAGGAUGUGUUAUAAUUGCACUAAACAUUCUUGAGUCUGCUGGUGAAUCUUGCGCAAGAUGCUGGGGAACCCUGCAACAGACCUGUGCCAAAACAAUCAUGCACAAAUGCAGUUCCCACUCUGAAAAUGUUAGCCGCAACCUACACCUAAUUUGCAAAAUAUACACUCAUAUUUGUAUGAUUUUGAUGCAUCAGGCCAUUUGCAUGGAUGCAACUCAGCACUCUGGAUUUCUGGGGGAAAAGCUGCAUUGUGGGUAAAAACACAUGGUGAUUUGCAUCCAAAACUUGCACAUUGCAAUCCAUCAGAAAUUAACCUUAAAUAGUCCAUUAUCUGGAAAUCCAUUUAUCCAUAUAGCUCCAAAUUACAGAAUUGCUGUCUCUCCCAUAGACUUUAUUUUAUCCAAAAAAUCCAAACAGUGGUAUAACUAUAGAGAAAACAGACCCUGUAGUCGCAGGGAGAGCCGGGGGAAACGGGAGCCCAGACUUGGGGACAGUAUCCUCUAUAGCCACAAUACUUACUAACAAUUUGCAUGCACGCUGCUCAUGCAAGUAGGAACGUGCCCAAGGGAGCAGAUGGAUGUGUGAAUGAUGUGCGCUUGUUGGCACACUGCUGAAUCCAAAUAUCCUUUAAGGUAUGAAGACUCAAGUUAGAUCUGUUAUCUGUAAAACCCCAGGUCCCAAGCAUUCUGGAUAACAGGUCCCAUACCUGUACUAACCCCCCCCCCAGCAGUGAGUAGGUCUGUGCUUCUAUACAGUAGUUGUACCCCUUUUUUACAAUAUAACUGACUGCUUAUCUGUUUCUAUGGUGCACACGGAACUAUACAGAUUUUUCAUAACUUACUGUACAAUUGCUUUGUGUUUUCAUCAAGUAAAAUAUUGUUCUCUGAUAAACCAUCAGGAUUUUGCUAUGUUCAUCUGGAAUUUGAUAAAUGUACCACAAAGUA